UACGAGAAAAGCAAAUGUUGUUCGGAAUCACUGGGCGUAAAAAGAGCGUAAACGGGUUCUUAAGUUAGGUGUUUAAUCCCGAGGCCCAACCCCGGACCGGCACUUAAAACUGGGAAUCUUGAAUAGUGGAGAGGUCGGUGGAAUUGGGGGUGUAGCGAUGGAAUGCGUAAAGAUCCCCAAGAACACCAGUUGCGAAAGCGGCCGACUGGACACAUAUUGACGCUGAGGCUCGAAAGCAUGGGGAGCAAACAGG
rnacentral:rRNA from 1 species